AAUUCACCGUAGAGCAUUUCACGCCCUCAGAUCCGACACAGAUCUGGUGGAAUUUCACUGAAGGGAGCAAGAGAACAACAAAACAUGUGUCAAGUUGCCGCACAGAUCGUUUUCUUCUCAUGUGCACCAUUGUGCGCAGCACCGGCCUCUCUUCUUCCCUUUUUUUUCUUCUUCUUCCUCUCCUCUCUUGGUUGCAAAUUGAUGGUAACCAUAGCCGUUCUCUCUAUAUUAAUCUCUCUCUCUUCCUAUAUCGAUUUCCGUCCCUCCCUUUGCGUUUUAUAUGAAGGAGCAAAAGGAGUCCUACACGACCCUUCUUCCUCGACGUGCAGGUCUCCUCUUCUUUUUUUUUGCCAUUGGUAGAGGCAUACACACCUCUGCCUCUUCAUCUUUCCCGACCAGAGGUAAACAUGCCUCUAUUUUUUUUUCCCUAUAACAGUUAUCUUUUGUGGUCUCCCAGAACGACGUCGUUUUAGUCUCUUACAUAGACGUUCGUUC
rnacentral:lncRNA from 1 species